rnacentral:rRNA from 1 species
UACGAGGGGUGCAAACGUUAUUCGGAUUUACUGGGUGUAAAGGGUGUGUAGACGGUCUGUUAAGUUCGUUGUUAAAUCUUCCGGCCUAACUGGAAGCUCGCGAUGAAAACUGGCGGACUUGAGGGUGAAAGAGAGAAGUGGAAUUCUCGGAGUAGCGGUAAAAUGCGUAGAUCUCGAGAGGAACACCGAUGGCGAAAGCAGCUUCUUGGUUCACAUCUGACGUUGAAACACGAAAGCGUGGGGAGCAAACAGGAUUAGAUACCCUGGUAGUCCACGCUGUAAACGAUGAUCACUGGAUGUCAGUUUUGCUUUGCAAAAUUGGUAUCGAAGCUAACGCGUUAAGUGAUCCACCUGGGAACUACGAUCGCAAGAUUAAA